rnacentral:RNase_P_RNA from 1 species
GAAAGUCCGGGCUUCACAGGGCAGGAUGCCGGAUAACGUCCGGCGGAGGCGACUCCCGGGAAAGUGCAACAGAAAGAUACCGCCGGUAUUCAACCGGUAAGGGUGAAAUGGCGAGGUAAGAGCUCACCGCUGUACUGGUAACAGGACAGGCUCUGUAAACCCCAUCCGAAGCAAGACCAAGACGUGACGAUACGGCUGCCCGCCGUGUCACAGGUAGGUUGCUUGAAUCGUAUGGUAACAUACGAUCUAGAUAGAUGAUCACCCACGACAUAACCCGGCUUAUCGUUCUGCUCGAC